CCUGGCUCAGCCUGAACGGCUGGCGGCGUGGCUAAGACAUGCAAGUCGCACGGGCGUAGCAAUACGUCAGUGGCGGACGGGUGAGUAAUGUAUCGCUAAUGUACCCUUCACGCUGGGAUAGCUGCGGGAAACUGCAGGUAAUACCAGAUGAUAUAACCGAAUCGCAUGGUUUGGUUCUCAAAGGAGCAAUCCGGUGAGGGAGCAGGCGAUAUCGUAUCAGCUAGUUGGUGAGGUAAAGGCUCACCAAGGCGACGAUCAGUAGCUGGUCUGAGAGGACGACCAGCCACACUGGACUGAGACACGGCCCAGACUCCUACGGGAGGCAGCAGUGGGGAAUUUUGGACAAUGGGGGCAACCCUGAUCCAGCAAUGCCGCGUGAGUGAAGAAGGCCUUCGGGUUGUAAAGCUCUUUUGUCAGGGAAGAAACGGUUCUGGUUAAUACCUGGGGCUAAUGACGGUACCUGAAGAAUAAGCACCGGCUAACUACGUG
rnacentral:rRNA from 1 species